UACGUAGGGGGCAAGCGUUGUCCGGAUUUACUGGGCGUAAAGAGCGUGUAGGCGGCCACGCAGGUCCGUUGUGAAAACUGGAGGCUCAACCUCGAGACGUCGAUGGAAACCAUCUAGCUAGAGUCCGGAAGAGGAGAGUGGAAUUCCUGGUGUAGCGGUGAAAUGCGCAGAUAUCAGGAAGAACACCCGUGGCGAAGGCGGCUCUCUGGUACGUGACUGACGCUGAGACGCGAAAGCGUGGGGAGCGAACAGG
rnacentral:rRNA from 1 species